GGUUGAUCCUGCCAGUAGUUAUAUGCUUGUUUGAAAGAUUAAGCCAUGCAAGUAUAAGUAUAAGUAUUUAUACAGCGAAACUGCGAACAGCUCAUUAAAACAUUGAUAAUAAUGACGAGCAUAUAAUAACAAUGGAUAUCCAUGGAAAACCUGCAGUUAAUACAUGCUGCACGCUUCGGUGUGCUUAGUAGUCUUUUAACACAAAAUAGUCGGAGCUUACGCUUUACUGUUGAUUGUUGAGAUUACUACUAUCUAGAAUGCGAUAACUCGUAUCAGCUUGUGACCCAUCAGCUUUGUUGGUAAGGUAUUGGCUUACCAAGGCAAUAACGGGUAACGGAGAAUUAGGGUUUGAUUCCGGAGAGGGAGCCUGAGAGACGGCUACCACAUCUAAGGGUGGCAGCAGGCGCGCAAAUUACCCAGUCCCGACUCGGGGAGGUAGUGAACAAAAAUAGUGGCCUGAAACUUCUAGUUUCAUGACUACAAUGAAUGACAAUUACAACUCGUCAUGAGAAACAAUUGGAGGGCAAGUCUGGUGCCAGCAGCCGCGGUAAUACCAGCUCCAAGAGCAUAUAUUUAAGUUGUUGCAGUUAAAGCGUCCGUAGUUGAUAUUCGGCUUAAGCUGAAUGACCCUAUUGGUGAUUUCAGCAAUACAAGUCUCAUUGUUACUUUGAAUAAAAGAGAGUGCUUAAAGCAAGCGGCAAGCUUGAAUUAUCUAAGCAUGGAAUAACACAACAGACUUUCAUCUGUCGUACGUACUGUUGGAUGUAAAGAAUGAUUGAUAAGGACAAUCGGGGACACUUGUACUUGCUGGAGAGAGGUGAAAUUCUGAGACCCGGCAAAGACAAACAAAUGCGAAAGCACUUGUCCAGAAUGUUCCUAUUAAUCAAGGACUAAAGUUGGGGGAUCGAAGACGAUUAGAUACCGUCGUAGUCCCAACUAUAAACGAUGCCGACUGAGUGUUGGUGUGAGAUCAUAAUCUUAUCCACCGCUCGAAAGAAAUUGAAGUCUUGGGCCCUGAGGGGGAGUUAUGGUUGCAAGACUGAAACUUAAAGGAAUUGACGGAAAGGGCACCACCAGGAGUGGAGCUUGCGGCUUAAUUCGACUCAACGCGUGGAAACUUACCAGGUUCGGACAUAGUGAUGAUUGACAAAUUAAAAGAUUUUUCUUAAUUCUAUGGGUGGUGGUGCAUGGCCGUUCUUAGUCGGUAAAAUGACUUGUCUGGUUGAUUCCGAUAACGGACAAGACCUUGAUCUUCAAUUAACAGCGAUCAAUCGAUCAGCUGGCAUAUUGAAGAGACUCUUUGUUUAAAGCUCUGGGAAGAACAAGGCAAUAACAGGUCUGUGAUGCCCUUAGAUAACCUGGGCUGCACGUGUGCUACAUUGACACACUCACAAAGCUACCGCUUUGUAAAAAUGCAGUGAAUCUUCAAAUUGUGUUAUAGUUGGGAUUGUCGUUUGCAAUUAUGCGUCAUCAACGAGGAAUUCCUAGUAAAUGCAAGUCAUAAUCUUGAGUUGAUUACGUGCCCUGCCCUUUGUACACACCGCCCGUCGCUUCAACCGAUUGGAUGAUUAGGUAAAUUUUUUGGAGAGCGAUCUUGGAAUCUAUACUUGAAAAAACGUAAACCUAAUUGUCUAGAGGAUGAAGAAGUCGUAACACGGUAUCCGUAGGUGAACCUGCAGAAG
rnacentral:rRNA from 1 species